GAUGAACGCUGGCGGCGUGCCUAAUACAUGCAAGUCGAGCGAACAGACGAGGAGCUUGCUCCUUUGACGUUAGCGGCGGACGGGUGAGUAACACGUGGGUAACCUACCUAUAAGACUGGGAUAACUUCGGGAAACCGGAGCUAAUACCGGAUAAUAUUUCGAACCGCAUGGUUCGAUAGUGAAAGAUGGCUCUGCUAUCACUUAUAGAUGGACCUGCGCCGUAUUAGCUAGUUGGUAAGGUAACGGCUUACCAAGGCAACGAUACGUAGCCGACCUGAGAGGGUGAUCGGCCACACUAGAACUGAGACACGGUCCAGGGUCCUACGGGAGGCAGCAGUAGGGAAUCUUCCGCAAUGGGCGAAAGCCUGACGGAGCAACGCCGCGUGAGUGAUGAAGGUCUUCGGAUCGUAAAACUCUGUUAUUAGGGAAGAACAAACGUGUAAGUAACUGUGCACGUCUUGACGGUACCUAAUCAGAAAGCCACGGCUAACUACGUG
rnacentral:rRNA from 1 species